CUGGGCGGACUCACUCGGUUGUUCGCGGAGGACAGUGAAAUGGGAAGAAAACGGGCAAUUGCAUUAGCGUCCUUGCUGCAAUUGUUCCUUACCGAUCUCCUAGCCACCCUGGAUUAUCAGUUUGCAGGAAUCCCCCAACGAGACGGAGCGCUCAAGUUCACCCUGCCGCAUUCUAUCCACGCCGCGGUUGGCCAUCCCUCCUGUGAUGCACAGUGGGAUGUGGACAACGCGACAGUGGCUAUUAUAACCAAAGACGAAAUAACCUUUGACCCUUCUGUGAAAGAAGUGACCCAUACUUCAAUGACGAUUGACAAGUGUUCCAGCAUUGUCAGAUAUUUCGUAGACUGCCUGGAAAUUCAGGUAAACAUCUUGAUUUAAUUAUACAUAUUGUAAAAUAUAGGACCACGACAAUCUUAAAUGGCUUACAACUGAUGCUUAAAAUUGGCAUCAGUUGUAUCUUAAGAAAAUAAAGACAUUGUUUCUCAGUUUUUAGUUCUAUUCAGCACACAAAAUAUCACUCCGGUUAUCUUGGCAUAAGCCAUAAGGCCUUUCAAUACCAACUCUGCUACUGUCAUUGACCCAUUGCAUAAUUAUGUUGUUAAUAUAAUAUCCCACAUAACAGGGAUAUUAUAUUACUAUAAAAAGAUUAAAUGCUUAAGAAAGCAGUAUGCUACAUGAUAUGGUAGACAUUAAAUUAGGUAGAUACUGACACCUCAUCAUUACUGAUACCUCAUCUUUAGCAUGUUUUUGCAGAACUAUUAGUCUGAGAGUACAGGAAUGUCAGUGAAAUCUUUAAAUCUGAUUUAGAUGUUUUCAAAAUGUCUCAGUUGCU